rnacentral:rRNA from 1 species
CCUACGGGAGGCUGCAGUGAGGAAUAUUGGUCAAUGGACGAGAGUCUGAACCAGCCAAGUAGCGUGAAGGAUGACUGCCCUAUGGGUUGUAAACUUCUUUUAUAUGGGAAUAAAAUGUUACACGUGUGGGAUUUUGUAUGUACCAUAUGAAUAAGGAUCGGAUAACUCCGGGCCAGCAGCCGCGGUAAUACGGAGGAUCCGAGCGUUAUCCGGAUUGAUUGGGUUUAAAGGGAGCGUAGGUGGUUUGUUAAGUCAGUUGGGAAAGUUUGCGGCUAAACCGUAAAAUUGCAGUUGAAACUGGCAGUCUUGAGUACAGUAGAGGUGGGCAGAAUUCGUGGUGUAGCGGUGAAAUGCUUAGAUAUCACGAAGAACUCCGAUUGCGAAGGCAGCUCACUGGACUGCAACUGACACUGAGGCUCGAAAGUGUGGGUAUCAAACAGGAUUAGAUACCCGGGUAGUC